UACGAAGGGGGCUAGCGUUGCUCGGAGUCACUGGGCGUAAAGGGUGCGUAGGCGGGUCUUUAAGUCAGGGGUGAAAUCCUGGAGCUCAACUCCAGAACUGCCUUUGAUACUGAGGAUCUUGAGUUCGGGAGAGGUGAGUGGAACUGCGAGUGUAGAGGUGAAAUUCGUAGAUAUUCGCAAGAACACCAGUGGCGAAGGCGGCUCACUGGCCCGAUACUGACGCUGAGGCACGAAAGCUAGGGGAGCAAACAGG
rnacentral:rRNA from 1 species